rnacentral:lncRNA from 1 species
GGUGAAGUCAAGUUAGAGCAGCACUGGACUACAGCAAGCGGGGGAGAAGGAAGUUCAGCACCCAGGUGGAGACUGCGAUUAGGCCCCCAAGGCGCUUAGAGCAGACAGAGGGAGAGAGGCUCCUUUUAGGAGCGGGUUUGGCGGGCGCCACCCCAAGCGGCCAAGGGCGGAGCCUCUUUUAGGCGACUGCUCCCGCGAGGUCAGAGCCGGGCUGUGCCGCUGCCCCCGGGACUAGAAAGGGAAAUCUCCUUGCUAGAGGAGGAAGCCCUAAGAACUCAAGGGAGAUAGGGGUGGCAGGGGCAUUUCCCUGGAUGCCUGGAGCAUGGAGGGUGCGAAAUAAGGAGGCUUUCCUACCCCAUUGAUGAGCUGAAGUUGAUUCCGCACGGGGGAGGAAAGGGACAGGAAGCAUAAUUGGAUGUGCAAGCCUGUGGUUCUUCAGGAAGUUAACACGUGGAACUAACACUGUUGGAUGCUGCUGAACUCUCAGGUGAUUGAUGUGACUAACCUCCUCAGGAGGCUUUCCGGAAGCACUAAGAAAUAGAACUAGUUUGUCUAAUUUGGAAUUAAAAGAGUAACCAACUGAGUGUCUUCAGCAGUGACAAUGAAAAUGUACCACUUCCCAUUUUGAUAAUUCAAAGAGCCUUAAGAAAGAUCGUUUUGCUUGAAAGCACUAUUUCACACUGACACUGGUCAUUCAUAGGCUUCAGAUAAGAAAAACUCCAGCAGUGUCCAGAUCAAGCCAUCCUGACUUUGUCUCUAGGCGGCUUAACCUCAAGUCACAGCCUGGUCUCUGCAGCAGAGCCAGGCAUUCCGGAGCCUGCACGGCCUAGCUCUUCUGGAGCAGAUGGGCUCACUUCCCAGGGUGCUGCUAGCUUGCAUUCAAAGUGACUUCACAUCUCACUCCCUCAGGUGGUCAGGAUGAUGCCCAUCCCUGAUCUGACACAGGCACUGAUGUCCACUAGACUCUGGCCAGCAAAAAGCCCUCUCACAGAAGAAGGGGUCAAAAAGGGCUAAAUCUGAGACAGAAGCCAGUUUCUCAGAUGUGCUAUUUCUGCCUAAGCAUCCUUUCUUGAACAAUAAAAAAAAAAGGCUGAAAAUAUCUCUUAUAUCAUUUUCAGGAACACAAAUUUUAAUUUCGUCUGCUUUUUUCUUAAAGGGGAUAAUCAACCACUGAAUCAUCUGAUUUCUUAGAAUAUACACUGCUACUUAAGUGUCUAUUAUGUGCCUUUUAGCAUGUGAUGGUUACAUUAGGUGGCUACCAGCUUGCUCCAUGCCAGAAAAUAAGGAAACAUAAGGUAAUCAGUAGCAAUGUAAGAAAUUCAAAGCAUUCAGUUGAUGAAAAACCCAAUUUCCUUUCUUGACAUAGAUGACAAUCUGGUAGAAGUACAACUCUGGACAAAUCUGUAUAGUGUUGUCUUUAAAAAAGAAGAUAAUUUUUCAAAUUAUAAUCAUCAGUGACCAUAGCAGUGCAGGAUCUGUGCAAGAUCAAACAGGCAGCACUGAGCAUGGGGCUUGUGACUGGUGGAGG